rnacentral:lncRNA from 1 species
AUGGGCUUCUGGCAAUAUUAUGUCUGUUUCAGGUUUUUAGGUGCACUGCACAGUUUGGAAACUGAGUUAUACGGUGGCCUAAGCCAUAGACAAGCACUGCCGAGGGAACUAACGAAGAUCCAAAGGGAGGAACUAGUCUUGUUUUUUAAAGCUAUUUAAUCCACAAAGUGAAAUAGAAGAUUGAGGUGGAAGACUGAGCCAAUUGCCCAGGUAAUUAAAAAGUUUCCCUGAAAUUACUCCAAUUAUCUGUAUUUUUCACAAGAAGGAAAAGAUGCUUGAUUUAAAUUAAUAGGA